rnacentral:rRNA from 1 species
UACGGAGGGUGCAAGCGUUAUCCGGAUUCACUGGGUUUAAAGGGUGCGUAGGCGGAUAGGUAAGUCCGUGGUGAAAUCCUGCAGCUUAACUGCAGAACUGCCGUGGAUACUAUUUAUCUUGAAUGUCGUGGAGGUUAGCAGAAUAUGUCAUGUAGCGGUGAAAUGCUUAGAUAUGACAUAGAAUACCCAUUGCGAAGGCAGCUAACGAAGCUGUAACUGACGCUGAGGCUCGAAAGUGCGGGGAUCAAACAGG